rnacentral:misc_RNA from 1 species
UCUUUUCCUCCAUUUUCUUCCUUUUUUUCAAUUUCUCAUUUCUUCUGGACGAUCGCCGGAGACUCAAUCGGAAAAUUCACCAACUGUUUAUGGAUUGCAGAAGCAGAUCCCUAUCAGCAUCGCCGUCCGCCGUCUCCGCCGCCGUCAACAACAAAUAUCCGAUUCUUCAGUUUUCAUCUCAGCUCUCUAAUCCUUCAUAUACUCCUUUCACCCCGUGGAUACGAUACCUCCGGUUCAGUUUUUCCUGAUUUAUCUUACAAUUUUUUUAUAUGCGAAGAGAACUCCCAAAGUUUACUCUUUCAGUAAAGCUGUCAUUGUUUUAAUAAUCCGGAGCCAAAACUUAAACUUGAAUUAAGGAGACACUAAUUAAAUUAUAGCCAAGAAGAGGUGGUGGUGUGGCUUGAAAUGAUUUAAGUGCUUUCAAUGUCAACUUAAGAUGGCUGCUUCUACGAGUGUGACAAGUCCUCUACAUAAGAAGAUGUCUGGGAGGAGGGCUAAGACUUCUGGUUGGGCUGCAUUUGACCUCAAUGAGAGACUGAAGCAACAAAAUCUUGAGCCAGAGCCUGAGAGAGAAACCUUCCCCAACUUAUCCGUUCCGCCCACUUCCUUAAGGGGUCCAUCUCAAAGCAUCGCAAAGAACAGUGGAGCAACUCUAGAGAAGCCUUUUUCAUCCUUGCUGCUACCGUCUGUAAGUUUUCCAUCGUUAAUGGCUACUAAAGAGUCUGAUGCAAAUCAUAGUCAAGUUGGCGAUUCUUGUUUCAACCAGACUGAUGGUUUUAUCCGAGAAAGAGGUUUUCUAGAGGUGUGUCGAAAGCUGAAAGAGCUCCAGCCAUGGGCUGAUGACACCUUGAUCGCAGAUGUCUUGGCUGGUGUAAAUGAUUUCAAUAAGGCCUUGACAUUGUUGGAUGCAAUGGUAUCUCCUGAUCAUACAUAUGUUGCACAUGACAACAGAACAACUCCAGAAGAAGCAGAUACUCCCUACAUACAAAACCUUAAAGACGUAGACACAGAUACUAAAGGGGUCAAGUCUAGUAGUAAGAAUUCUCUCAUGAAUAUUAACAAGUUUGCUGCUAAUAAAGGUGUGUCAUUGACAGACAAUGUGGAUAUGGAUGAAUUGAGCCAUGCACUUGCCAAGUGUCUUCAGAGCAACAGUCAGGAACUAAUAAAUAACUGUGUUUCUCACGAGAACAAACUUCAUUUUGAUGGAGCAGUGGGGAGUAUGAGCUUUGUACCGGUUGAGCCUGAGUGGGAAGAGGAUGAUAUUUACUCGAUCCAUCGGAAGGAUGCAGUGAAGAUGACGAGGUCGGCAGCCCGACAUUCUAAGGCUGCCAGUGAGGCCUAUCUCAGAGGAGACCACUUAUCUGCCCAACAUUUUUCUCUAAAAGCCCAAGAAGAGUGGGAUGCUGCUAAUAGGCUAAAUGCCCAGGCUGCAAAAGAAAUUUUGACUGCCUGCAACGGUAAGAAUGAUCAAUGGACACUGGACUUGCAUGGUCUUCAUGCAAAAGAGGCAGUUCAAGCCUUACAAGAACAUUUGCAAAAGAUUGAAUCUCAGGUGGCACAGAAUAAGCGCAGCUUUGGAGCUGCUGUCUCUUUUGAUGUGGAGAAUGAGAGCAAAGGGUCCCACCUAUUGAAUAAGCAGCGGCCAGCUUUCUUAGAGGUCAUAACAGGUAAAGGUAUUCAUAGCCGGGGACAAGCUGCACUUCCAAUGGCUAUAAGAAGCUUUCUCGUGGAGAAGGGAUAUCGUUAUGAGGAGACAAGGCCCGGGGUGAUCACAGUUAGACCCAAGUUCCGACCACGAUAAAUACGUUCAUAUGUAUAUUUUGGGUCCCAAUUUAGUGCAUUUGUUUCUGUUGCUAUCAACUUUGACCUAGAGAUUUUGAGUCUUGAACUGGUCUUAUAAAAACGACCAGAAACCUGUUGUGGUUAUAUACUGUUGAAUAUUUCUGUAAUUGCAUACCAUCAAACAUUGUAUGUACUUUGCUGAUUUCUCCACAGGUCCAAACUAACACUUGAAAGUAUAUUGGAGGUAGCUUGGUCAAGUGUCUCAAAUUACUAUUCACGGUGAAUUUUAUA